UACAGAGGUCCCGAGCGUUGUUCGGAUUUACUGGGCGUAAAGGGCGCGUAGGCGGCCUCCGCAAGUCGACUGUGAAAUCUCUGGGCUUAACCCAGAACGGUCAGCCGAUACUGCGGGGCUAGAGUGCAGAAGGGGCAACUGGAAUUCUCGGUGUAGCGGUGAAAUGCGUAGAUAUCGAGAGGAACACCUGCGGCGAAGGCGGGUUGCUGGGCUGACACUGACGCUGAGGCGCGAAAGCUGGGGGAGCGAACGGG
rnacentral:rRNA from 1 species